rnacentral:rRNA from 1 species
UGGGGAAUAUUGGACAAUGGGCGCAAGCCUGAUCCAGCCAUGCCGCGUGCAGGAAGAAGCAUCUCUGGUGUGUAAACUGCUUUUGUACGGGAAGAAACACUCCUUCGUGAAGGAGCUUGACGUUACCGUAAGAUUAAGGAUCGGCUAACUCCGUGCCAGCAGCCGCGGUAAUACGGAGGAUCCAAGCGUUAUCCGGAAUCAUUGGGUUUAAAGGGCCCGUAGGCGGUUUAGUAAGUCAGUGGUGAAAGCCCAUCGCUCAACGAUGGAACGGCCAUUGAUACUGCUAGACUUGAAUUAUUAGGAAGGAACUAGAAUAGGUAGUGUAGCGGUGAAAUGCUUAGAUAUUACAUGGAAUACCAAUAGCGAAGGCAGGUUACUACUGGUGGAUUGACGCUGAUGGACGAAAGCGCGGGGAGCGAACA